rnacentral:rRNA from 1 species
UACGUAGGGCGCAAGCGUUAUCCGGAAUUAUUGGGCGUAAAGAGCUUGUAGGCGGUUCGUCGCGUCUGGUGUGAAAGCCCAUCGCUUAACGGUGGGUCUGCGCCGGGUACGGGCGGGCUAGAGUGCAGUAGGGGAGACUGGAAUUCCCGGUGUAACGGUGGAAUGUGUAGAUAUCGGGAAGAACACCAAUGGCGAAGGCAGGUCUCUGGGCUGUUACUGACGCUGAGAAGCGAAAGCGUGGGGAGCGAACAGGAUUAGAUACCCUGGUAGUCAAGGGCGAAUUCGUU